rnacentral:lncRNA from 1 species
UUUGACAAAACCAUGGUUUCUCAACUUUCUGCUGAGUGAAUACAGUGUAUCACGAAAAAAAGAAAUAAACACAUUGCCACUCAUCUGUAAGAAAGGCAUGUUUUGUUUUUAUGUGUAUCUGGUCAUAUGUCCACUGAAAAAAUACUAAUGAUAAAUAAGUUGAGAGAAUGUACCGUUUGCUUAAAUGAGAAUGAAAUACAGAUACAUUCAACGUUGCUUUAAAGAUGUUUAACGUUUAAAUAUGUUAAGUAUGCUGUCGAAAUGUCAGCUUAAGACUGAAAUUGGCUAUCCACUUUUAAACAUAUUCUUAGAAAUAUCACAGUACUUAGUGUAUAUAAAGGAAUAUAGGCUACUUGAAUUAAAUAGGUAGUGUG